rnacentral:rRNA from 1 species
UAAGGAAUAUUGGGCAAUGGGCGGAAGCCUGACCCAGCCACGCCGCGUGGAGGACGAAGGCGCCAAGCGUUGUAAACUCCUUUUGCAUGGGACGAACGUCCCGGACUUGUCCGGGAGUGACGGUACCAUGAGAAUAAGCACCGGCUAACUCCGUGCCAGCAGCCGCGGUAAUACGGAGGGUGCGAGCGUUAUCCGGAAUCACUGGGUUUAAAGGGUACGUAGGCCGGCUCGUAAGUCAGGGGUGAAAGGCCGCGGCUCAACCGCGGGACUGCCCUUGAUACUGCGGGCCUUGAGUUCGGAUGAGGGCGGCGGAAUGGUACAUGUAGCGGUGAAAUGCUUAGAUAUGUACCGGAACACCGAUUGCGAAGGCAGCCGCCCGGGCCGCGACUGACGCUGAGGU